AUUGAACGCUGGCGGCAGGCCUAACACAUGCAAGUCGAGCGGAGCGGCGGACGGGUGAGUGAUGCCUAUGUAUCUGCCUGGUAGUGGGGGAUAACGUCCGGAAACGGGCGCUAAUACCGCAUACUAUCAGAUUAGCCUAGGUCGAUUUGGGUAGUUGGUGGGGUAAAGGCCUACCCAGGCGACGAUCCGUAACUGGUCUGAGAGGAUGAGCAGUCACACUGGAACUGAGACACGGUCCAGACUCCUACGGGAGGCAGCAGUGGGGAAUAUUGGACAAUGGGCGAAAGCCUGAUCCAGCCAUGCCGCGUGUGUGAAGAAGGUCUUCGGAUUGUAAAGCACUUUAAGUUGGGAGGCGUUACCUACAGAAUAAGCACCGGCUAACUUCGUGCCAGCAGCCGCGGUAAUAC
rnacentral:rRNA from 1 species